rnacentral:rRNA from 1 species
UACAUGGGGUGCAAACGUUGCUCGGAAUUAUUGGGCGUAAAGCGCACGUAGGUGGUCUGUUAUGUCAGAUGUGAAAGCCCUCGGCUUAACUGAGGAAGUGCACCUGAAACUGGCAGGCUUGAGUACGAAAGAGGGUCGCGGAAUUCCCGGUGUAGAGGUGAAAUUCGUAGAUAUUGGGAAGAACACCGGUAGCGAAGGCGGCGACCUGGUCCGAGACUGACGCUGAGGCGCGAAAGCGUGGGGAGCAAACAGG